GAUGAACGCUGGCGGUGUGCUUAACACAUGCAAGUCGAACGAUAAGACCCUUUCGGUGCUACACUAGUGUUAACCGGGGGCGUAAGAGUAGCGUAACCUGCCCUCAUCUCUAGGAUAACGAUCGCUAACGGAUACUGAUGCUGAUUAUGGGUUACCAAGUCAUCUGCUUGGUUGGACAGUUUUUUUUUGGUUUGGGAUGGAGUCGCGGCCUAUCCGCUUGUUGUUGAGGUAGUGGCUCACUAAGGCUUUGACGGGUAGCCGGCCUGAGAGGGCGACGGGCCACAUCGGGAUUGAGAGAGGGCCCAAACUACUACGGGAGGCAGCAGUGGGGAAUAUCGCACAAUGGACGGAAGUCUGAUGCAGCAAGGCCGCGUGCGCGAUGACGGCUUUCGUGUUGUAAACCGCUUUCAAUUGUGACGAAGCUAUUUUGUGACGGUAGCAGUAGAAGAAGCACCGGCUAACUACGUG
rnacentral:rRNA from 1 species